CAGAGGGGGCUAGCGUUGUUCGGAAUUGCUGGGCGUAAAGGGCGCGUAGGUGGCCUGUUAAGUCGAACGUGAAAUCCCCGGGCUCAACCCGGGAACUGCGUCCGAGGCUGGCAGGCUCGAAUCCGGGAGAGGGAUGUGGAAUUCCAGGUGUAGCGGUGAAAUGCGUAGAUAUCUGGAGGAACACCGGUGGCGAAGGCGGCAUCCUGGACCGGUAUUGACGCUGAGGCGCGAAAGCCAGGGGAGCAAACGGGAUUAGAUACCCCAGUAGUCCUGGCCCUAAACGAUGAAUGCUUGGUGUGGCGGGUAUCGAUCCCUGCCGUGCCGAAGCUAACGCAUUAAGCAUUCCGCCUGGGGAGUACGGUCGCAAGGCUG
rnacentral:rRNA from 1 species